rnacentral:rRNA from 1 species
AUUGAACGCUGGCGGCAGGCUUAACACAUGCAAGUCGAGCGGUAGCACAGGGGAUCUUGCUCCCUGGGUGACGGGCGGGGGGCGGGUGGGUAAUGUCUGGGAAACUGCGUGAGGGAGGGGGAUAACUACUGGAAACUGUAGCUAAUACCGCAUAACGGCGCAAGACGAAAGAGGGGGAGCUUCGGGGCUCUUGCCAUCAGCUGUGCCCAGGUGGGAUUAGCUAGUAGGUGGGGUAAUGGCUCACCUAGGCGACGAUCCCUAGCUGGUCUGAGAGGAUGACCAGCCACACUGGAACUGAGACACGGUCCAGACUCCUACGGGAGGCAGCAGUGGGGAAUAUUGCACAAUGGGCGCAAGCCUGAUGCAGCCAUGCCGCGUGUGUGAAGAAGGCCUUCGGGUUGUAAAGCACUUUCAGCGAGGAGGAAGGUGGUGAGCUUAAUACGUUCAUCAAUUGACGUUACUCGCAGAAGAAGCACCGGCUAACUCCGUG